rnacentral:piRNA from 1 species
UGGUGAAUGGAAGCAGACGGAAAUUUGA